AGCUAUAAGUUCUCUGUAGCGCAGCUAACGCAUUAAGCACUCCGCCUGGGGAGUACGACCGCAAGGUUGAAACUCAAAGGAAUUGACGGGGGCCCGCACAAGCGGUGGAGCAUGUGGUUUAAUUCGAAGCAACGCGAAGAACCUUACCAGGUCUUGACAUACUCGUGCUAUCCUUAGAGAUAAGGAGUUCCUUCGGGACACGGGAUACAGGUGGUGCAUGGUUGUCGUCAGCUCGUGUCGUGAGAUGUUGGGUUAAGUCCCGCAACGAGCGCAACCCUUAUUACUAGUUGCCAUCAUUAAGUUGGGCACUCUAGUGAGACUGCCGGUGAUAAACCGGAGGAAGGUGGGGAUGACGUCAAAUCAUCAUGCCCCUUAUGACCUGGGCUACACACGUGCUACAAUGGAUGGUACAACGAGUCGCCAACCCGCGAGGGUGCGCUAAUCUCUUAAAACCAUUCUCAGUUCGGAUUGCAGGCUGCAACUCGCCUGCAUGAAGUCGGAAUCGCUAGUAAUCGCGGAUCAGCACGCCGCGGUGAAUACGUUCCCGGGCCUUGUACACACCGCCCGUCACACCACGGAAGUUGGGAGUACCCAAAGUAGGUUGCCUA
rnacentral:rRNA from 1 species